GAGUUUGAUCCUGGCUCAGAGCGAACGCUGGCGGCAGGCUUAACACAUGCAAGUCGAACGGGCACUUCGGUGCUAGUGGCAGACGGGUGAGUAACACGUGGGAACGUACCUUUCGGUUCGGAAUAAUACAGGGAAACUUGUACUAAUACCGGAUACGCCCUUCGGGGAAGAUUUAUCGCCGAUUGAUCGGCCGCGUCUGAUUAGCUAGUUGGUGAGGUAAUGGCUCACCAAGGCGACGAUCAGUAGCUGGUCUGAGAGGAUGAUCAGCCACACUGGGACUGAGACACGGCCCAGACUCCUACGGGAGGCAGCAGUGGGGAAUAUUGGACAAUGGGCGCAAGCCUGAUCCAGCCAUGCCGCGUGUGUGAUGAAGGCC
rnacentral:rRNA from 1 species